rnacentral:rRNA from 1 species
GAUGAACGCUAGCGGCAGGCCUAAUACAUGCAAGACUAGGGGGCAGCAAUGUCACCGUCGCACGGGUGCGUAACGCGUAUGCAACCUACCUAUCACAGGGGGAUAGCCUUUGGAAACAGGGGAUUAAUACCCGCAUAAAGCAGGGGCUCCGCAUGGAGAUAUUGCUAAAGAUUUANCGGUGAUAGAUGGGCAUGCGUCUGAUUAGUUAGAUGGUGGGGUAACGGCCUACCAUGGCGAUGAUCAGUAGGGGGCGUCAGAGCGUGGUCCCCCACACUGGCACUGAGAUACGGGCCAGACUCCUACGGGAGGCAGCAGUAGGGAAUAUUGGACAAUGGGCAAAGCCUGAUCCAGCAAUGCCGCGUGAGUGACGAAGGCCUUAGGGUUGUAAAGCUCUUUUACCCGAGAUGAAGGUACCAAAUGAAUAAGCACCGGCUAACUCCGUG